rnacentral:rRNA from 1 species
UACGUAGGUGGCGAGCGUUGUCCGGAUUUACUGGGCGUAAAGAGCGCGCAGGCGGUCGUACAAGUCGCGUGUGAAAGCCCCCCGGCUCAACUGGGGAGGGUCACGCGAUACUGUUCGACUCGAAGGCAGGAGAGGGAAGUGGAAUUCCCGGUGUAGUGGUGAAAUGCGUAGAUAUCGGGAGGAACACCAGUGGCGAAGGCGGCAUCCUGGACCGGUAUUGACGCUGAGGCGCGAAAGCUAGGGUAGCAAACGGG